rnacentral:rRNA from 1 species
GGGCGGGAAACCCCCGGGUUCAACCGGGGAGGGUUGUUGGGGCCGGUUCACUUGAGGCCCGGCAGGGGCAGGGGGAAUUUCCCGGGGUAUGGUGAAAUGCGUAGAGAUCGGGAGGAACAACCCGUGGGAAAGCCGCCUUGCUGGGCCGGAUCUGACGCUGAGCCGCGAAGGCGUGGGGAGCGAACGGGAUUAGAUACCCCGGUAGUCCACGCAGUAAACGAUGCCGACGAGGCGUGGGGGGAGUUGACCCCCUCCGUGCCGGAGCCAACGCGGUAAGUCGGCCGCCUGGGGAGUACGGCCGCAAGGCUAAAACUCAAAGGAAUUGACGGGGGCCCGCACAAGCGGCGGAGCGUGCGGUUUAAUUCGACGCAACGCGCAGAACUUUACCCGGGCUUGACAUGCGCCUGCAGAGCCCUGAAAGGGGUUGGCCUUCGAGGGUGGCGCACGGGUGCUGCAUGGCUGUCGUCAGCUCGUGUCGUGAGAUGUUGGGUUAAGUCCCGCAACGAGCGCAACCCCCGCGGCCAGUUGUGUGAGGUUUCUGGCCGGACUGCCGGUAGCAAGCCGGAGGAAGGUGGGGAUGAUGUCAAGUCAGCAUGGCCCUUACGUCCGGGGCGACACGCACGCUACAAUGGCCAGGACAGUGGGUUGCCAAGGCGCAAGCCGGAGCCAAUCCCCCAAACCUGGUCUCAGUUCGGAUUGCGGGCUGCAACUCGCCCGCAUGAAGGUGGAGUCGCUAGUAACCGCGGGUCAGCACUACCGCGGUGAAUACGUUCCCGGGCCUUGUACACACCGCCCGUCACGUCACGAAAGCCGGCAACACCUGAAGCCGGUGGGCCAACCCGCAAGGGAGGCAGCCGUCGAGGGUGGGGCGGGUGAUUGGGACGAAGUCGUAACAAGGUAGCCGUAGCGGAAGCUGCGGCUGGAUCACCUCCUUAAGGUUGGAUCCGGG